rnacentral:ncRNA from 2 species
CAGAUGAAGCUCACCCAUAGAAAGCAUGAGCGACUGCUUGCAGGCGGCGAAGGCUUUCUAUGAGGGGAGCAAACGAACAUGAGCAAGAAGGACGAUAGUCCGGAUUGCGAAUGGUCGUUACGAUUUCGAGAGUGCGUAGCACGGAGAAAUCGAUUAAGAUA